AGUACAAGCCUAGGGAAUGUCUUGCCAUGAUCGAUAGAUGGUUGGCUUAUUACUUUUUAUAGUGAGAGUUGUAGCUCCAAAUUAUGAUCAAACGGCUCAUUUCUCAUUAGAGUGAGCUCGUUUUUCUAAUUAUUAUGUAAUAAUUGGAGAAGUACUUACAAGUUGCAAAAAUUAAAGCAUAUGAAAAUGUGCUCA